AAUAAAUGCAGUUUUAGCACUAUUCAUAUUCAACGUUUGACCGUUCGUUUUAUUUGAAAAAAGAUUAUGAUUAGUAUUUUUAUUGUUAUUAGAUGAUACAACAUGAAUAAUACUUUAUGUGUGACUAAUUUUUUUUAAUAUUUUUCAUAUUUUUUUUUAAAUAAGACGGAUGGUCAAAGCGCUAAACAUGGAUAUUUUAUGACUGCACUUAUU
rfam:Oryza sativa Japonica Group DNA, chromosome 6, cultivar: Nipponbare, complete sequence.